GGUUGGCCUGGGCGAGGGGAUGCCCGGUCCAGAACGGAUCGUCACCGGCGUUGGACACGCCGACCAGCCC
rnacentral:tRNA from 1 species